CCACCAGUAUCAUCAUCCCAGCCAGGAAAUGUGAUGGUUAUUUAUUGUCUCUCCCAGUUCAGUUUGUACUGCUUGUCUGUGUCCAGCCAGUGAUGGCUGUAGUUUUCAUCCUGCAGGACAGCCAGGCGUGCAGGUGCUGAUUCCCAGAUAGUGCACUGUUUGGUAUGCUGAUGCAGAGAGAAACAGCAGCUCCUCAGGUGCUCAGUCUCUCUCUUUAUUCCCAAACAUGAGGCAGACAACAAGGGGUAAAGGACCUGUCAGUUGAAACAGAUGAAUUAAAUUUGUAACAAAAGAAUGUCUUCAGGCAGUUGUUUAGACAUAUCACUAAGAAUCCACAGAUUCACUUUACCCUCUGCUGCAAACAGCAGAGGAAAUUAGGCAGCUGUAUUCUCAUUGGUGAGUUUAUUACCUAACGCCUGGAAAGUGAAUUUCAAAGAUGCUGGUGUUGCCAAGCAACUGCCUGAGGAUGACAGCGGUCAGAGCACACACAAGGACUCUGUUAGAGGAGCACUGCACAGCAAAGGUCGGCUCCAUUCAUAAUCCAUUGUGAUUAACAGGGUGGCUGGUUCUGUCCCGAGGAUGCACAGAGCUCCUUCUGGUCAUGAGACGUCUUUGGCCACCAGUGAAGUGGAAAAGGGAACUGAAGAAGGUGUUCCUGGGACUCAUACCCUCGCUGUUACAAAAAGCUUAACUGAGAAAGCUGCUGUUUUGGGAUCAGCAGGACCCUGCUUUGUGACUGUAUCGUGGCACACACUGAAGGCUCCCAGUGCUACUGAUCCCACUGGUCCAUCUCAUCUGCUUAGGAGGCAGCAGUUCUGUCAGCACAAGCAACUGCCCCAAGGAAAUUCAGAACAAAGAAAGUGUGCAAGUUUUGAGGUCAUGUGA
rnacentral:lncRNA from 1 species